UACGGAGGGGGCUAGCGUUGUUCGGAAUUACUGGGCGUAAAGCGCGCGUAGGCGGCUUUGUAAGUUAGAGGUGAAAGCCCGGAGCUCAACUCCGGAAUUGCCUUUAAGACUGCAUAGCUAGAAUCAUGGAGAGGUGAGUGGAAUUCCGAGUGUAGAGGUGAAAUUCGUAGAUAUUCGGAAGAACACCAGUGGCGAAGGCGACUCACUGGACACGUAUUGACGCUGAGGUGCGAAAGCGUGGGGAGCAAACAGG
rnacentral:rRNA from 1 species